UCCCUUAGUCCUCCUUGCCAGCUCUUGGCUCCCGCUUACCCUCUCACUGGGCCUCUCGGUGGCCCCGAGGGCUUGGAUUUGCAUACUGGUGCGGGACAGCUCUCAGGGUUCCUGCGGCGGGAGCCACUCAGGCAGAGCCAGCACAUGGUGGGAGGGACAGCAAGAAAGAGCGUUUAAGAAAAAAAAUCAAGAUUUGGUAAUUUUUGUUUUUAAGGCACAUCCAAAGCUCUGAGGAGAGGGGAUUGAAGGGUGGGAAAUUCACUUUUGUACAAACUCCAUAUAAAGAAAGAAGAGACCCAUCGAAGACUGAGCACCUAGCCAACUGGAGACCUGCGAUGUUGGACACCAUUGUCCCUUCCGUGCAAGACCUGGGCAGGCAGGUGCUGCCCACGCUGCUGUCACUGAGCCAGGAGGAAGUCUCUACUAUCUGGGCAAACGUGUCAGAAUUUGUGGAACGGCAAUUAUCCCUACACAAGGGGGUUCAGAUCCCAGGACUUGGAAUUUUCACUUUCAUGAGACAAAAACUUGAGGUGGGAAACAACAAGUUUAUUCUGAUUCAGAGGCCCAUAUUUAUCAUGGCGGAGAAAUUAGUACAGAUUCAUGGACUCAAGCAAAACAAAAUAUAUAUUCCUGGUGAUAUCCCAGUUGUUCCACUUAAUUUUGUCAUGAUAUCCCUGGAGGGUCCAUUUAGCAGGGAUACAGUGGAAGGAUGUGUGAAGGAGACAUUGCUUUUUUUAUCACGAUCCAUUUCCAUCAGACCAAAUGUGGAAUUUACUUUCAAAGGAAUCGGGGUCCUUGUGAUUAGAGGCAACAAAGUGAAGAUGAGAUUUUAUAAGGACUUCCUUUGUUCAAUGGAUGGAAGUGGGGCUUUGGCAAAAGCCCUAGCAAAUAGGCCGGACACUGUGGACUCCGUGUUGUCUAGCAGAGAGAUCUUAGGGAAGCGACCCAACAGUGUGCUUGCAUUUCCAAGGAUUGAGCUCAAGGAGAUGGAGAACAAACCACCUAUGGAGACCAUUGUAGAAGAAGGUAGAAAGAAUAGACAAAGGAAGUACAAAUUAAAAGACCAGCCAGACAAAGAAGAAGGCAUCAGAGAGAUCUUAUCGCCCAAGAGACUUCGAGAUAAACAAGCUAUCUCCUCUCCCAAAAUGACAAGCAUCAACUUGCUGAAUAAGUUAGAGCGGAAUGGGAGUAGCUGGAAGAUUAUGAACCCUGAAAGCUUAUCAUCUCCAGGUUGUUUGAAAAAUGACAGUGAAAUGAAGCCUCAACUUUCUCCAGUCCCCGCUUGCCAGGAUCAUAAUAAGGCAGGACAGGAAAUGUGUUAUGUGUGUUUGCAACGAGCACAGUGCAAUUCCCCAUUGUACUACAGUGAGGAGACGAAGAGGAGAGAAAUAGAAGAUGAGCGACUCAUUCAGCAGUAUCAAAUCCUGAAGGAUCAAGAGGCUCUCUUAAAACACCAGAUGAGAAGUCUGGCUAAUAGAGAACAAAAUCAGAAAAAUGCUGCCUACAAUCUUGGAGUUGCUGAAGCUAUAAGAAUCCACAAGAAUGAGAAACCUGAAUUUUAUAAAUCUUUCCUGUUUGAUAAACGGCCACUCAGUCCUGAGAUUAAUGCUUUUAAACAAGAAGAAUAUUCCCAAAGUCUCCUGAAACAAAUGGAUUACAGACGGGAAAAGGAAAUAAAGCAAAGACAAAACAGAGAGUUGAUGGACCGCCUAGAACAAGUGCAACUCACAGAGGAACUUGCUGCACAAAGAGCCCAGUAUAUAAAAGAUAAGAUGGAAGAAACACAGUGUUAUAAGAGAGCUUUGGAUGCGCAGAUAAAGAACAAACCCCUGCAACUGCCCAUGUUUGAGCCAGACUCUUGUGAGCCCAUCUUUGGUAAGGAUGAGGGUGAGCUGAUGGUGGAAAAGCGCAAGCGAGAACAGAAUUACAUGAAGCACCAGCUGGAGGCUGCUGCCGGCCACAAGAGGAGAACCAUCCUGCAGCAGCUGGUGGAACAGAAGCGGGACUUGCAGAUGCUUCGGAGGACACAAAAAGAGCACUCAGCGGACAGAAACGCUGAGCUCGAGCGGGUGAACAGAAUCAACCAGAGCUUGCAGGAAGACUGGGAAAGCAGUGCUGCAAUGAAGAGGCAGCGGGACCUGGAGGAGAAGGCUUUUGAGCGGGCAUCAGACAAGCUCUUCCUUCUGGACCAGUGUGAGAAGUAUCGGCGCUGCAAGCAGUGCCAGAGGCGCACCUCCAGUGUGGGUGAGAGCAACCUGUGGCCACUCAACAAGUACCUGCAUGGCUCCCGGUUGUUUGUAUAAAACCCAAAGUUUGGAUUCGUGGUUUCCUGGGGAAAAUUUGUAUCGUUUCAAUGUUUAGAACCCUGCUGCCACUGGGGGCUGGGAAUGGGGGACCCAGCCUCAUUCUGGCUCCUGAGGUGCUGCUGACCCAGCCCUGCUACUCCGUGAUGUUGUAGAACUGUCUAUGUGAACAUUCCAGAGAUGGAUCAUUCCAGAGAAGAUCACUGCGUGCCGGACCAGUCAUCACCAAUCAAGAUUUACAACCAUAGCCUUUCCCCCGUACUUGCCUGACUUGCCUGAAGUCCAUACCUGCUACACCCUUGGAGUACUUCUCUGUCUCAAAUAUCUAACAAAUUACUAUAACAGUGUUGUAUUAAUAUAUUUUAAAAUAUAUAUACUGCGUUGUUAAAGAAAAAAAGACUUUAGCCAAUUUUGAUAAGUUUAUGCUGUAGGAACUGAACUUAUAAUUUGUUGUCAUUGGUAGCGAGUACUGAUUCUUACUGUGUGCCAAGCACCCAGCUAAUUUUUGGUGACCCGGAGAUUAAGAUUCAUCAGUCCCUGUCUGCCUUCAGAGCACUUACCGUGCGGUGCAGAGGUGGGAUGUGACUUAGACAAUCUCCAUGUAACAAGGUAAGUACCUAAUAGUGCUGUGCAUUGGUUGCUAUGGAAGAGCAAGGUGGAGCUCUUGUGUUAGUUGAGCCUGGCACGGAGAGGGAACUCUUUUGUAGGAGAUGAGGCCUAAAAUGAAUUUGUAAGGAUAAAUAGGAAAUAGCUAGGUGAGGAGUGACAAGAGGUCAUGGCAAGAGAUGACAAGGCCCUAUGUUCCUGCCUAUCAAGACAAAGAUGGAGACGUGGUUAUAUGAGUUAUGUUAUGAAACCAAAUAUGUUUUUCUAUCAACCAUUUUAAGAAUCAACCUGUAUUAUAGCCCAUCAUUAACAC